rnacentral:rRNA from 1 species
GUAGGGAGCAAGCGUUGUCCGGAAUUACUGGGUGUAAAGGGAGCGUAGGCGGGGAUGCAAGUUGGGUGUCAAAACUAUCGGCUCAACCGAUAGUCGCACUCAAAACUGCAACUCUUGAGUGAAGUAGAGGCAGGCGGAAUUCCUAGUGUAGCGGUGAAAUGCGUAGAUAUUAGGAGGAACACCAGUGGCGAAGGCGGCCUGCUGGGCUUUUACUGACGCUGAGGCUCGAAAGUGUGGGGAGCAAA